rnacentral:rRNA from 1 species
GUCGAACGAGUACUUUUUACGAGUGGCGGACGGGUGAGUAACGCGUGGGAACCUGCCUUUAGGUAGAGAAUAACUACAGGAAACUGUAGCUAAUACUUUAUAAGCCCUACGGGGGAAAGAUUUAUCGCCUUUAGAGGGGCCCGCGUCAGAUUAGCUUGUUGGUAAGGUAAUAGCUUACCAAGGCAAUGAUCUGUAGCUGGUUUGAGAGGACGAUCAGCCACAUUGGGACUGAGACACGGCCCAGACUCCUACGGGAGGCAGCAGUGGGGAAUCUUGGACAAUGGGGGAAACCCUGAUCCAGCAAUUCCGCGUGAACGAUGAAGGCCUUAGGGUUGUAAAGUUCUUUUAGUAAGGAAGAUGAUGACGGUACUUACAGAAAAAGCUCCGGCUAACUCCGUGCCAGCAGCCGCGGUAAUACGGGGGGGGCGAGCGUUGUUCGGAAUUACUGGGCGUAAAGAGCGAGCAGGUGGUUUAUUUAGUCAAAUGUGAAAGCUCAGAGCUCAACUUUGAAAUUGCAUUUGAAACUGGUAAACUCGAGUUUGGGAGAGGAUAGUGGAAUUCUAAGUGUAGAAGUGAAAUUUGUAGAUAUUUAGAGGAACACCAACAGCGAAGGCAGCUAUCUGGCCCUUUACUGACACUCAGAAGCGAAAGCUUGGGUAGCAAACAGGAUUAGAUACCCUGGUAGUCCAUGCUGUAAACGAUGAGUGCUA